rnacentral:rRNA from 1 species
GAUGAACGCUGGCGGCGUGCCUAAUACAUGCAAGUCGAGCGAACGGACGAGAAGCUUGCUUCUCUGAUGUUAUCGGCGGACGGGAGAGUCACACGUGGAUAACCUACCUAUACGACUGGGAUAACUUCGGGAAACCGGAGCUAAUACCGGAUGAUAUUUUGAACCGCAUGGUUCAAACGUGAAAGACGGUCUUGCUGUCACUUAUAGAUGGAUCCGCGCUGCAUUAGCUAGUUGGUAAGGUAACGGCUUACCAAGGCAACGAGGCAUAGACGACCUAAGAGGGUGGUUGGCUAGACGGGAUGUGAGACACGGCCGAGACUCUGACGGUGGGCAGCAGUAGGGAAUCUUCCGCGAUGGGGGAGAGCCUGACGUUGCAACGCGGGGGGAGUGAUGAAGGUCUUCGGAUCGGAAAACGCUGUUAGUAGUGGAGAACAAAUGUGUAAGUAACUGUGCUCAUCUUGACGGUACCUAGUCAGAAAGCCACGGCUAACUACGUG